AGAGUUUGAUCAUGGCUCAGAAUGAACGCUGGCGGCAUGGAUUAGGCAUGCAAGUCGAACGUGCUCCCUCGGGGAGAAAGUGGCGAAAGGGUGAGUAACACGUGAGCAACCUGCCUCCGGAUCCGGGAAUAAUCCAGGGGAAACUUGGGUCUAAAAACCGGAUGAAGGCAUUUGGGGCCGCAUGGGUCUGGUGUUAAAAAUAUUUAUAGUCCGGAGAGGGGCUCGCGGCCCAUUAGCUUGUUGGCGGGGUAAUGGCCCACCAAGGCUACGACGGGUAGGUGGUCUGAGAGGAUGGUCACCCACACUGGGACUGAGACACUGCCCAGACUCCUACGGGAGGCUGCAGUCGAGAAUCUUCCGCAAUGGGCGCAAGCCCUGACGGAGCGAUGCCGCGUGAGGGAUGAAGGCCUUCGGGUUGUAAACCUCUGUCAUCCGGGACGAAAACAAUGACGGUACCGGAAAAGGAAGCCACGGCUAACCACGUGCCAGCCGCCGC
rnacentral:rRNA from 1 species